CACCAUUCAUAAUUAUUCAACUGUGGAUAAAAUAUUUCCAAUUUCUUCUUUUUCACAAAAACCGAGGAUGCAUAGAAAGACUCACCUAAUGGAUUACAAUUAUAUUUUACCAAAACGGCAAAACUAUGAGCAAAAACCAAAGAAACCGCUAUCACCUUCUUCAAUCCACGUGUCUCUCUUUCUCUCUCUGUCUCCUUCCUCUCCAUUACAACAAGCUCCUCCCCUUUACCCGAUUUCUCAGACACCUGUUCUCCUUCUCUCUCUCUCUCUCUCUCUCUCUCUCUUUCUCUCUCUCCAUCCAUCUACCAAUGUGCUAUCUUGUCACGAACCCACAUUGUCAUUUUAAUGGAAUUGAUCUCUCUGGCUUUGUGUUUUGAGCUAAAAGGAAGAGGGGGGAAAAAAUCCCAUUUUCUUUUUGAGCCAUUUCAAGAGAAACUCUGAUCUAUUUUCUGGUAUUAGGUUUGGUUGGUUAUGAACAUAGCAGCUCUUUUGGCUUUUAGUUAAAAGGUCAUCUCUUUUGCAUAUUAAUACUUUCCUUAUUUAAUGGCAAACACGGGAAUUCAUCAUCUCUGUAUGCUAAUUCAGCCAUGAAUUGCCUAUUUGGUUGAUAGAGCUUCUUUUUGUCCUUCGAACUUUUCUGGGGUAAUUUCUUUCGUCAAUUUUGGGCUUGAAGGGGUGAGUGAGAUUGGAAAUGAAUGAUCAUGGAGACAAACAAACUGCUUUUGAGAUGUGCGUGGUGGUUCCAAGGAGUAUUGUGAAGAAAGAAGAUAAGAAAUAUGACUGCAUUGAGGUUCUUAUCAAGGAGUUGAAGAAUGUGGGAUUUAUUAUAGACAGAGCUGUUGGCCUAACAGAUGAGUUCAUCAAGUUGGCAGCACCUCUGCAGACCUUGGGGAAGGCUGCAGCUGAGUUGCAAAUGAAGAAGCUUACUUAUAUUGCAAAGUAUGUGCACUCGGGAGAAUUAGGCCUAUGCUUAACUUUGAUUUCAGGAAUGGAUCUACAGUUUGAAUGGGAGGAAGUUAAAGCAUUUGUGAGACAACCAGAUGGUUCAUUGUUUAGCUGGUGUGAACGUUUUGAGUGCUACCAUCAUUUAUUAUAUGGCAUUGUAAACAAGAGCAAGGUAGAUGCUAUGUUAAAAUGGGAAGACAAAGAAUAUAUCUGGGAAGUUGGGGAAUCUUUGCUGCGGAGAUUGGAGUCUGCGGGCAUUGUUAAACAAGUCUUUCCUCUGCAUGUUGAAAUUAAGAGGAAGGAGCUUCUGAGAAGCUGGGUGCUCAACUGGCGGAACUUCACAAACCAGCCCAUUGAUGUCAUGUAUUCCUAUUUUGGGAUGAAGAUUGCCAUCUAUUUUGCUUUCCUUCGCAUGUAUACACAUUGGAUGCUCUUUCCAGCUGCGUAUGGGCUUAUAGUCCAGUUUGUUGACUUUGGAUCGAUGCAGUUUCUAGUUCUCCCAGUAUUCUUCAUAAGCAUAAUAUUGUGGGCAGCAUUGUUUUUCCAGUUUUGGAAACGUAAAAACUCUGCCCUUUUAGCCAGAUGGCAGAUACAUUAUUCAGCCACUGCUGGCCAAGGAUGUAAAUUUUUGGGUAUGGAAUGGAGUUCCUUACAGUCACCUCUAGAACUUGUAAAAAAUUUGGGGAUUGAUAAAGUAAAAGAGAGAGAAGCGUAUCAAAGACAUGAAUGGUUUGGGCAUCUCAUGCGGUUUAGAAAUAAUGCUAUCAUUAUUUUGAGUAUUAUCUGCCUUCAGUUACCAUUUGAGUUGGCCUAUGCUCAUCUUUAUGAGGUUAUGGAUUCGGAUGUGAUGAAGUUUGGGCUGACAGCUGCUUAUCUUAUUCUCAUUCAGUAUUUUACGAAGAUUGGGGGCAAGAUAUCAAUGAAACUCAUACAAUAUGAAAAUAAUGAAAACACAGAAUAUCAGGCUGACAGCUUGGUCUACAAAGUAUUUGGCCUUUACUUUAUGCAGUCGUAUAUAGGAGUUUUCUAUCAUGCCCUUCUACAUCGCAACUUCAAGACUCUUCGCCAGGUUUUAAUUCAGCGUCUGAUUGUGUACCAGAUCUUGGAGAAUGUGUUGGAGAAUUCAUUACCUUAUCUCAAAUACAGCUAUAAAAAAUAUAGGGCUGUUAGAAAUAAGAAAAAAGAGAAGAAACAAACCUCAAAUGUGAAGAUCCAGUUCAACACCAAGGUGGAGAAAGAGUACCUAAAACCUUCAUAUUCUGCAAGUAUUGGUGAAGAACUAGAAGAUGGUCUUUUUGAUGAUUUCCUUCAGUUAACUUUGCAGUUUGGAAUGGUCAUGAUGUUUGCUUGUGCUUUUCCCCUUGCAUUUGCCUUUGCUGCCGUGAACAGCUUCACACAGCUUAAAACAGAUGCAUUGAGGUUGCUCACCAUGUUGAAAAGGCCAGUUCCUCGUGCUGCUGCCACCAUUGGAGCUUGGCUAAACAUAUUUCAGUUUCUAAUAGUGAUGUCAAUCUGCACCAACUCUGCACUACUAGUAUGCUUAUAUGACAAGGAGGGCAAAUGGAAAAUAGAGCCUGGGCUGGCUGCAAUUCUCAUGCUGGAGCACAUCCUCUUGCUGAUUAAAUUUGGAUUGUCUCGCUUUCUUCCUGAGGAACCUGCUUGGGUAAGAGCCAACCGAGUGAAGAAUGCAGCGCAGGCACAGGGCAUGUAUUCUAAACAGCUUUUGAAAAGCAUUUCUGGACAAGGAAGGUUAAUGGGGCAUCAUAGGACCUUGUGAUUAUGUUGAUAGAGAAGUAAACCAGGGACAAAUGGGGAUGAGUUUUUGAAAUUUUGAUAGUCACCAGGAAUCAGUACAGAUGAAUCUUGUAUCGUGGGGUUUGUUUCCUUUGUGACUGCUAUGCUCGAAUGAUUUACUGGAGUUAUUUUGGGAAGAAAUACCAGUGAUAAUUUUGUUUUUAAAGUAUAAAGAGGGAGAGAAAUCUUCACAGGUGACAUGUUAACCUGGUGAAGAGCUUUAUCUUUACACUCUGGAAAUUUGAACAGUUGCUGCAUUGCUUAUGUUAUGAAUUUGCACAAUCUGUAAGAAGCUCACAUCAUGCUUGUACUAAUCAAAUUGCAACGGGAAUUUUACGUUAUCUUUAAAUU